CCCAACCCGACUACACUGCUCUCCCAAAAAACCCUAGAAUAGGCGCAUUGCGUAAUUCGCGUUCCACCCGUUAGUAGUAACCCUAGACACAACGCUUAUAUAUAUACUCUCAUACUUCCCUCAGUUCUCAACAACCAGCAGUCUACCUCGGCAGCAGUGGCCGAGCUCCUCCUCCUCACCAAGAAGAUUGCGAAGCAGAGAUCAAGAAUUUUUAAUCACCAUAGAGUGAACAAUAGAUUAUUGUGAUGGUAUACUUUUUAUUCAUUUUUUUUGCUUAUGUUUAUAGAAUUUGAUUUUUCACGGAUGUGAUGAUAGUAUUGUCGCCCCAGUCUUACUUUGCACCAAAGGUGUAAUAUGGUGACUGACUUCUAAUCUGAUCCUGCUUAUCAAUUUUAUUCUUCUUUUCAUGAAAUUAAUUUUUUGUUACUGCUUUUAUAUUAUUAUUCAAUUUUCACUAUGCAACUUUGAUUCAUUGAUUCAUGGGAUAUGAGGAUACAAUCUUUUAAUGUGACAUCCAGUCUUACUAUGAAUUUCGUACAUGGUGAUAGAUCGACUAUCUGAUCCCAAAAUCCAAAUCUGAAUCUUUUGCAAAUGUAACAAACAAUUAUGAUUUUUUUAAACUUUUUUAUUUUGAAUUGCAAAGAGAAAUGACGAUAUUUAUCCAACGGUUCUGUUAUAGAUGAUGAAACAAACAUGCACUACCAUCUGAUCUCUUGCAGUUUAAUUCUAUUUUUUUAUUUUAAUUAUUAUUGUAGUUUUUGUUAAUUGCCUAUGGUAUCUGAUGUCCAGAAUAUAGACUUUUGUCUUGUAUCUUGACAUUUCGUUUUUACGGGCAUAUACUAAACUCUUACAGGACUUGCGACACAGAGGUUUUCGGGGUUUCCGAAAUUCAAGCCUACUGUUACUAAUUUCCUGUUUACAUUUCAUUUAUUCAUCAAGAUCUUAUUUAUAUAAAGUUGGUUCAAAUGGUUAAUAUGUCAUUUGUAGUUGUGCAAUCCAUGAUGCAAAAAUUUCCAAAUUAUUAUGAUUUCUGUGAUUAAUUAAAGAAAAAUCACCAUCUUUCGGCUGAGAUUGCAGUUCAAAUUAUUUAUAUUCUAUUGUUUAUAUGUUUCAUGUGUUUAGCCUUGAUCGUCCUACUAUUCAUCUAGUUCAUUAAAGUAUCUAACUUGUUUGUUUAAUAGAAAGAAAAAGCACCCAAAUUCCAGUUCAUUAAAGUUGAGUUUCAUGUGUUUUGGCUACAUAUAAUCACAUCAAUCUUUAAUCAAAUACAACAUAAAGCAGAAUAUAAAUUAUUUUGAGAACAACUCAUAGACGGGAAAUAAAACCCAAUUUUUAAUACAUUGAAACUUUUUUAGAAGUGUUUUGGUGUUUUUUAUUUAUUUAUAAUUUAAUUUUUAUAGUUAUUUGAAGAUGAGGUGUUGAUGAUAAGAUUGUAGACUGUAGUUUAGUUUGAGACACAUUUUAAAUGUGCAGCAGGAUCGAUUGGUUCAUUGUGUUUUGCAUCCUCGAUUGGUCCUGUCCCAUUGUGAAAGAGGUGUUAGUUCCUAUUUAAGAAGCCGGAACAUUUUAUCCUAAUUGGGUGCUGGACACUGAACUUAUUGUUGGGUAUGCAAGUUCACAAACCCUACUUUUUAAUGUCCUUUUCCCAACAUCUAAUUAACUAAAAUGUUUCCACAAUUCAUCCGUUUCACAAGUCAUAUCCACUUAUGAUCCAUCAUAUGCACCUAUUUCUAACUCAAUUUCCAUUGUUAGUUUCCUCCAAUGAAAAUGAACAUCUAUUGUUAUUGGUAUGCCACCAAGUGUGUAACUUCUUAAAUCAAAAUCACAAAGCGACCCAUAAGAUGUUCUAAGAGUUGUUAGUUCAUAAUUUUGACAUGCACUUUACCAAAAAGUGAAUCCUAUGUAGAGAUGUUUGGAUCAUGAGGAGAUGUUCGACCAAAUACAUGUGUUGAUUGGAUAAGGGUAAUAAGAGUUAACGUGCAAUUGAGACUUCAGAAAUAUUUCUUAAACUGGUUAAAGACAGUUUUCGAUUGGGGAUUCAAAAUUCAAAUAAAGGAGGGAACUUUGCUUUUAUAAAAAACUGUUAAAGGUACACAUGAAGCAUAAUGGAUAGUUACAUCCAUGCAAGGUGCCAUGUAGAGAUGUUUGGAUCAUGAGGAGAUGUUCGACCAAAUACAUGUGUUGACUGGAUAAGGGUAAUAAGAGUUAACGUGCAAUUGAGACUUCAGAAAUAUUUCUUAAAUUGGUUAAAGAUAGUUUUCGAUUGGGGAUUCAAAAUUCAAAUAAAGGAGGGAAGUUUGCUCUUAUAAAAAACUGUUAAAGGUACACAUGAAGCAUAAUGGAUAGUUACAUCCAUGCAAGGUGCCAUGUGUCUCGAUGUGAUUGAAGGACCGUAAAAAACGAUUAUUUCCAUUCAGUAUAAAUAAAGGGUCUUAGUGUUUAAGAUCAAGUGUGUGUCAAAGAUUGUACAAAGUUUGUAAAUUUACCAAGUACUUAUGUGAAGAGGAACUGUAAAUCAAAGAAUGUACGUUUGUUUA